rnacentral:lncRNA from 1 species
AACCUAGAGAUGAGCAUCAAAAUAUGGAAUAAAAUUAGAUUACUUACAAUUUGUUAUUAAUGGCAACAUUGUGUAGUUUGCUUCAAAACAAGCAACACAAGCGUAUUUUUUAAAGGAGAGAAAUGUAAACAGAGUUCAAGGUACACAUGAUAGUGGUUUUUUCUUGAGGGGGAGGCAGCAAGUUGAAAUAGGAAAGGGGCUUGGUAAAUGGGGAUUUCCGGGAUAUACAUAUAUAUAAACACAUACAUAUACUCAUAUCCAUUCUUCUUUCCCAUAUAGCUUACUACAGAAUACUGAGUAGAUUUCUUUGUGCUCUGUAGUAGGUCCUUGUUAAUUAUCUAUUUAUAUACAGUAGUAUGUGUAUGUUUUACCCAUCUUCCCAGUUAAUCUCCCACCCCCUCACCCCACAGUUUCCCCUGUGGUAUCCAAAAGUUUGCUUUUGAAAUCUGUGAGUUUGUUUCUGUUUUAUAAAUAAGUUCUUUUGUAUCAUUUUUAUUAGGUUCUACAUAGAAUUGAUAUCAUAUGAUAUUUGUCUAACUUCACACUAAUACGAUGAUCUUAGGUCCAUCCAUGACAUUAUGUCAUUUUUUUUUUAAAUGGCUAAUGUUUCACCAUAUAUAUGUACCACAUCUUCCUUAUCCAUUCCUCUGCUAAUGGACACUUAGGUUGUUUCCAUGUCUUGACUAUUGUAAAUAGUGCUGCAAUGAACAAAGGAGUGCACAAAUCUUUUCAAAUUAUGAUUUUUCUCUGAAUAGAUGUGCAGGAGUGGGAUUGCUGGAUCAUAUGGUAGUUUUACAUUUAGUUUUUAAAGAAAUCUCCAUACUGUUCUCCACAGUGGUUGCACCAACUUACAUUCCCAACAACAGUGUAAGAGGGUUCCCUUUUCUCCACACCCUCUCUAUCAUUUAUUGUUGGUAGACUUUUAGAAGCUUAUGUACUGAUGCACAACUGCCAUUGAUCUGUUUGUAUGGGUUUUAAACCAGUUGCUUGGAGUUCCUAUUGUGGUGCAGUGGAAAUAAACCUGAGUAGUAUCCAUGAGGAUGUGGGCUAGAUCCCCAACCCUGCUUAGUGGGUCAGGGAUCCAGCCUUGCUGUGAGUCAUGGUGUAGGUCUCAGACGUGGCUGCGAUCCCAUGUUGCUGUGGCUGUGGUGUAGGCCAACUGCUGUAGCUCCAGUUCGACCCUGGGAACUUUCAUAUGCUACAACUGUGGCAUAUGAAAAAUCCAACAACAACAAAAAAUAGUUGCUUGUGAUGGUGGCUGCAGAACAGAUUUUUCCUUGGAUAGAGUUCCUAUUGUGGUGCAGGACCUUUUAUAAUCACUUAUGAAGUAAGUCUUAUGCCAAGACCAGCUCAGCAGGUUGGGGCUGAAGAACAGGUGCUGUGAAACUUAAGGAAAAAAGUUAACAUAAAACAAGACACAGAGACAUUUAUCUUAAGUAAAGGUAGGGACUGGGGACUCAAGGUCUCAGAGACCAAGAGCACUGCCUCAAGAAACCACACUGCUUUUAUUGUGUUCUUGAGGAUUACAUCAAGUGAAGAGGGGGUUGUAGGUGCAGGAUAUAGGGUUUUUGUUUUUGUUUUUUUUAAUUAUUUUAAAAGUCACAUAGCCGGUUGCUGAUUAAGCUUUUAUUCUGACCUUUAGGCAUUUAACAGUCAUUAGCAUUGAGGAAGCUUGGCAUCAGCAAUCUAUGCAUAGCAUUCUAGAGAAUCACCAUUGUGCUUAUGCAGACAGCGUGCCUAUCUGCAACAACCCUGUGUGCCUGUGCCUAGGUUUGCAUCUAGGUUCUCCUUGCUAAUGCAUAUCUUGCUAACGACCCCUCAUAAACUCCUUGGGGCCAUGAGGCUCAUCUUCCUCUUAUUCUUUAGAGGACAUAUCAUGCUGUGCAAACAGCAUGCGUAUCUGCACAGGUCCUGGCGUGCCUAGACCAAUGCAUUAUGUCCUCAUUCAGCUGACCACAUGAAUAACUUAUGCCUUUUAGGUCUUUGUUCUUAAGCUUAAGUCAUUUACCAGCACUGCAACUGUUUUUCAAGCAGGAAGAUGGGGUAAAGUAAAGCAGGACAAGAUGGAGUUUUCAGGAUAGAAAAUAGAAGCAAAGAGGCUAAGAAAAUACUGUAGAAACAUGUCUUGCAACAGUCUUAUUAGUCUUUUAUUUCCAUUUUGAAGAGGAGAUGGUUCGCUACUUGCUCAUGUGGUGCCAGCAACAAUGUGCUAGAGCUGGAAUUUGAAUCUCGCCUUCUGGACUCACAGUCUACCAUUAAUAUAAGGCAGUUACUGCUGAACAAUAGCACUUAUCAUAUGAUGUAUUAUAAGGUUGCAAGAUUAAAGUAAGGUAAUUUUUAUCAGAAGACUUAGAGUUUUUCCCUAGCUUACUACUUACUCCCUACUUCCCUAUCUUGAUAAAAUGGCACCAGUUGUGAAAACUGGAACCCAGAAUUAUCCUUUACAUUUUAAAACUAUAUCACCCCUAUUUCUGAUCAGUGUUACAUUCCUAUACAAUGUAAUAGCCUGACCACUAGUCUUUUCUCCACUUGGUUGCCAGAAGAACCUUUAAGAAAAGGAAAAUCUCAUUCUGGUACUUUUGGCUUCCUCAGAAUUAUUCUGUUGUUUUCAUUUGAUCUUAGGAUAAGAAUCAUAUCCUUUCCUCACCUCCCCAUCUGAUCCCACACCACCGUCCAGCCUUCACUGAUCAUGUUGACUUUUUUUUCAAUCUUUUGUGCCUUCUUAUUGCAGGGCCUUUGCAUGUGCUAUUUGAUGUGAAUUCGAACCACCCAACUAUGUUCCCAGCAACCCUCCCAUGUUUUGGUCAUCGACUAACUCCCAGGUCAUGUCUCCAACAUCCUGGAAGAUUUUCGCUCCUGGGCUGUCUCUCUCUUUUCUCACAACUACUCUGGUCAUAAUUCUGAUUAUGAUUACAAUCUCCUUGUAGAUAAUUUCCCCAAUAAUCCCGUCAAUUCCUUGAAUUCUCCUCCUUCAGUGAAUCUUGUUUUCCAUCUUACUUUAUCUGACUCCUACCCUUGGUAUAACUUAUGCUGCAGUUCUCAGAUUUUGGUGUGUAUCAAGAUCACCUUAAAGACUAUGUAAAUACAGAGUCCUGGACCCCACCCCAGAGUUCUGACUCUCUAAAUCUAGGUGGUAGCUGGAGACUUUGUUUUUCUAACAAGUUCAGAAUGUUGCUGAGCUGCUGAGCUGAGGACCACACUUUGAGAACCACAGCGCUACGUCUUGUCCUCUGUGACAACUGCACUACCUCUGUGAUCUGAAUUUCAAGUAUCUCACUCUCUAGCUACUGUCUCCUACCUCUUUAGUUCAAGCCUUUACUUCCAAUACUACCCUCACUCCAGUGAUUCUUUGUCUACCCCAAUCUCUAAUCAUAUAUAAGAAAAUGGAGAGUUUUGCAUUCUCUAAAGGAUGGAUUUAUGCAACCGUUAGGAUGCAUCGUACAGGAGGGGUGUCACUUUCUCUGUGUCCUGAAAUUUAGAAUUUUUGGAAAUUGCCAUAGGAUCCUACUUUUCUUUUUCCAAGUAUAUUAGUCUAACUUUGUAUAUUAGUCUGACUUUAAAGAAAAGUGGAGUUGUUAAACUCUUGGAGGUGAAGUGUUAUAAAGUACAUAUAAACUUUAUUAAAUUAAUAAGCUUGAUUUAUCUCAGGGAUAAAGGUAUUAAACACACACCCUAUACUUAGAGUUCACUGCUAGAUUUUUAAUAUUCUCAUCAAGCCUUAUAUAAUUUCAUAUGUUCUUUGACAAUAUAAGUAUUUCAAAUAGUCAUCCAAUCUCUUUAUUUUAAGAAAAUAUUUGAAGCCAUAUCAUUCUAUCCUUGAAGUGAAUAAAGAAACCAUCCUGUAUGUUUGGUGAUAAUAUUUUGCCUUGGCAAGUGCUCCAACAUUGCAUGCAGAAAAGAUUUCACAUCAUCCUCAAGUGCAACCCUAUGAAAUGAAUGAAAAAAAGAGAAUGAGUGAAGUCAAGAACCUUGUCCAAGGACACAAACUCAGUCAAGUUGGACUCAUACACGGGCCUUCUGCCUCAACAACCAGCAUUCUUUCCAUUUGAGUUAGAGCAUCUGGAUGGUUGAAGAUACUCCAGAGAUCCCUGAGGUCAUGAGUCCCGAGGAGAUCUGGAAACAAGUGGUGCCGGCCAUAGAGUAUGGUAGAAGCUGUAUAGAUCAGACUUCAGCUGAUUGCCAUUGCAUGGCCAUGAGUAUUCCCCUAUCUUCUGUUUUUCAAGGAAAGCUGAAAAUGGGGAGUUUUAACAAUACCUUCCAAUUGGAAAAUACGCUUAACUCAGAUUAGAAGGAACACAUGCAGUAGGGCCAGCGUUAAUGUGUCAUCUGGUUUGCCCCUGGAGUGUUAGGUUGAGACCUGUGAUCUAAAAGUAUUUUGCAAGCAGGAGGCAUUUCUUCUGUAAAAUCCCAGAAUCUUAGGCCUUUGCUUAAAUAGUUCCAGUGAUGUAGAACUUUGAGUAACUUAAUAUGGCUGGUUCUGUUGUUGGUCAUCUCAUUUUUCUUAGGUUACUUCUCCCGAGCCCCAUCAUCCUAUAUUUAUUCAUGAUUCCACAGGGAAUCCUUAUGCUUUUUCUUUGUGUGUGUGUGUCUUUUUAGGGCCACACCUAUGGCAAAUGGAGGUUCCCAGGCUAGGGGUCUAAUCAGAGCUGUAGCUGCUGGAGUACACCACAGCCACAGCCACCACCACAGCAAUGUGGGUUCUGAGCCAUGUCCGUGACGGACACCACAGCUUCCAGCAACACCGGAUCCUUAACCCACUGAGCGAGGCCAGGUGUUGAACCAUCCAUCCUCAUGGAUACUAGCUGGGUUCGGUUAACCACUGAGCCAUGACGGGAACUCCUCCUUGCACACUUUCGAACAGAGCUUCCUUUUUCCCCCUCAAACCUCCACCCCCUAAUCUUCUAUACAGACUGAACAUUCAUAGUCUUUCAACGAUUCAUCUGAAGGCAUGGUUUUAGACCCUUGGUAAUCCUAGCUACCUUCUUCUAGAAUCUCUAAAUCUGUUUAAUGUCUCCUCAUGAGAGUAUUCCAUCACAUUCCAUGGUAGCAUCUCUCAUCCAGUAAGUAAAAUUAAAAUCUGAUGUACCAUUACAUCACUCAAGUUUCCAUACGUUUGGGGGACUCUGGAAUAAUUUGAUGUAAAUGGAAUAAUCUGAUAUAAGAUGGAGCCCAUCCAUGCAUGUUAAAUUUAUUGUUCAAAGUGGCUCAGACUGAUGAAGGUCAAGAGGCAUGAGUGACCAUCCUUGGAGAAAGACUUGCUAUACUUCUUGAGACCUCUUGGACAGAGAAGAGAAAUAGCGUUUCUAAAGCAGAGCCCUACUUUAAAAGGUUUGUGAAAUAUAGGUGUGACGUGUGGUAGAACUGGUCACAAGAGCAAAAGUUUAUGUGAGAGCUAUAGGUUCUAGACUCCAGGGUCUAGAGUAAGGAACUGUGGGAUGAUUUAAUUACAUUCUGUGAGUGAUCCCCCUAGAUAAUGCUGGAAGGGCACCAGUUAAAAGUUAGAUCCAUGGUUUAUUAGAAACCUCCUGUAAUGGAAUACAGAUGAGUGUAAUAAUGCAUGCCGAAUAUUUAGCACAAUAUCUAGCAGGUAGUGCUUAAAAUAAGUGGUAGAUUAUCAUUGUUAUUAAACUACAAUUACAUUUAAUAUGUAAUUUAGUCUCAUGACUCCUUAAGAGGUAAUUAUUGCCAUUUUAUAAAAGAGGGGAGUAAGACUUAGAUUAAGUUUUGGGAUCACAAAGCUUGUAAGUAUCAGAGCCUGGACCCUGGUCGAAUACUGAAACAUAUGCUGCUCCAAACUAUGCUUAAACAUAUGCUCCAAACUACCUUAAAACCCCUGGCAGCCUAAGAGGAACCUGGAAUCAAAGUAUAACUCUUUAUUCCUUCUGAAAAACUGUCACAUUAAUUCUCUGUCCUAUGAUUAGGCAGUGGGUUUAAUAUUGAACUCAGAUGCAGACAUAUCUCUUUAUCCUUGUCAAGCUUUUAGUUGUGGCACUAGCCCUGGUCUAUACAAAUAAUUUCGAAACUCAAGAAUUUCAUUCCGGGAGUUCCCACCAUGGUGCAGGUAGGUUAAGAAUCCAACUGCAGUGGCUCAGGUCACUGACGAGGGGUGGAUUUGAUCCCUGGCCCAGUGCAGUGGAUUAAAGGACCCAACAUUGCUGCAGCUGUGGUGUAGGGUCACAGCUGUGGCUUGGAUUCAAUCCCUGGCCCAGGAACUUCCAUAUGUCAUGAGCGUCUC